AGGAUUGUAGUUAAAAAUAACAUCUAAUUUGCAAUUAGAAAGUACUAAAAUAGUCAAUCUUU
rnacentral:tRNA from 1 species